rnacentral:lncRNA from 1 species
GGCCCUCGCCUCGCUGCUCGAAGCGCUUCCGUGCGUGUACGUGCGUCGUGCGUGACCGUGCACCGGGGGGCCUUUGCCAGCGCUUCCCUGUCACAUGGCCGGCGUCUCUUGUCACGUGGCCGGUGCCUGUGUUCCCAGGGGCUCCCCGCGCGGGACUCUGGCUUCCUGCUUGCGUCCCGCGGCCCCCGCGUGCGGCGCAUGGCCGUGUCUGUCCUGUAUUCCCAUGGGGGUCGUCGGGCCGGGUCACCGGCCUCCGCGUCUGCGGCGGGAAGGCGCCUUUCGCUACGGUCGGAGAAACGGACUUGGAUCUCCCUGCGGUUCCUCUAUGGUGUGUGACCUUGGGUUAUCUACGCUCCUGGGGAGCCUCAGUUUCUCCAUCACAACAAUGGCACUGUACAAGACGGGGAGGCCUCUUUAGCCUGUUCCCAAAGGCUCUGUGCAGGGAUACUGAAGUAUCGAGUAUGGUCGCUGGUCAGCUACGUCUGAGGGGACAGAUGGUGCGGCUUCCUCCACAGAAUCACAGGGCUUCGUUAUGUGUGAGUGCAGAGUACUAAGCUAGGGGUUGCAUAGACGACACCCACGCCUACCUGCUAUUCUUCUUCCCACCUCGUCGCACUGAUCCUGAACGGGGCUUGAAGUUUGCGGCAGUACCUCGUCGUUCCCACUAGGUGGCACUAUCACAAAGGACAACGGAGGGUCCUGAAACCCAGAGCUGCAAACUGGCAGGUGCCAGGAUGUUGUAAGGCCUGAUGGGUUUGGGACCAAUUCAUCAUGUGAGCCGUUGGCCCGUCUACCGUCACCACCUCUAUGUUUUUUGGAAGCUGACUGUACCUUGGUGCUGGGCUACUGAUUCACUCAGUGAUGUUAGCAGAAAGCUUUACUAGGCCAAGUUUAACUCCAAGCCACCCCUGGAUUUGUCCUUCCUUCUCCUGGAUUCAUCUCUCCAAUCCCUUCAUGAGAUUUGCUGCCUGGUGUGACUCUUAUAAGCCAAGAAGCGAUGAAGAGAAGGGAAGAAUUAAAGCAGGGGAGGGGGCUCAGCUUCCUGAUCUCUUCAGCUCAGCUGGGAUACCCUCCCCUGGGAGCUGCAGUGUCUCUGCUGAGAAGGCUUCAGGAAUCUCAGAGCUGUGUGGCUCCUGGACUCCCAUGUCUCGGGAUGCCCUGCCCUUGAGACACUGCCCCACAUCAGCUGUGCAGUUCCUGGGCUUCAGAGCCCCAGUAGAUACCCUUCCACUGAGCAGAAAUUUAUAAGCCCUCGUCCUGGUUUAAUCACUCGGCCCCUUCAAAGGUUUCUCCCAGCCCUUCCUCCCUCAGUUCACCAACAGUAUGCUUAAAGAAUCCCUUCUCUCAGUUUUCUCAGUACUGGCAACUCCAAACUAUAGCAACUGUUCUAGCCUAUCUGCUCAGCUCAGCUUCUCCUGGCUCAGCUGUCACCAACUGUCUUCUCUUUUUACUCUGUUAGAAGAAUUCAUGUUCAACUCCCUUCUCUUUUCCCUCUGCUAGCCCUGUGCUUUCUCAGCCUCAGUUGGCUUUUUUUUUUUUUUUAAAUCUCCUGUUCCCAGAAAUCCAAGAGGCAACCAACACUGAAGAUCACAGGGUCCGGCAGUUCUAACAGCUAAGAAUUCUUAAAAGGCCAGUUGACUAGCAACUAGGGAUCCUUUAAAGGCCCAGGCUCACAAGACAAAUCACACUACAACAGAGGGCUUGCUGAGCAUGUACAAUAAAUAAUACAGCCCAAGAAUGCUUACUCAGAUGAAAAGAGACUCGUGAAUUAACGAAUGAAGGAUGAUCACAAAGGUAUAACACACUUGGAUCCUCUUUGCAAAAUGUCUAAAAUGUACGUUUUAUGUGUAUAUUUGUGUGCCCAAAAUAUGACAGCUGAGCAGUGGUGGUACACACCUUUAAUCCCAGCAUUCAGGAAGCAGAGACAGGCAGAGCCAAGUUUGAGGCUAGGACUGUCUACAGAAUGAGUCCCAGAACAGCUAAAGCUGCACAGAGAAACUCUGUCUUGAAAAUAAAACAAUAACAAGCAAAACAGACAUGAAUGUUAUUUUAAAUAAGUGUUUUUAUUAAAAUGAUAAAAAUAUUUAUUUUUAAAAGUGUUAUUUUAAUAGUUUUAAAUACACAUACUGGGCUGAAGAGAUGGCUCAGUGGUUAAGAGCACUGACUGCUCUUCCGAAGGUCCUGAAUUCAAAUCCCAGCAACCACAUGGUGGCUCACAACCAUCUAUAAUUAGAUCUGAUGCCCUCUUCUAGAGUGUCUGAGGACAGCUACAGUGUACUUACAUAUAAUAAAUAAAUAAUGCUGAGAAUAAAAGUUAUUUAAAAAUACACGUACUAUAAAAUUUACUAUUUGCAUUGAUACUAUUAUGUAAUAAUUUCCAAUAACUAGUUUUAGAAUUUUUUAUUUUAUGGGUAUGAGUGUUUGCUUGCAUGUACAUAUUCAGGUGCGGUGUGUGUAUCUGUAUCAAUGGGUGUAAUAUCUGUGGAGGCCAGAAGAAGACAUUCCAUCUGAAAUUGGAGUUGCAGGUGUUUGUGAGCUGUGAUUGCUAGGAAUCAAAUUGGAGACGUCUAGAAGAGCAGCCAGUGCUCUUAAUCACUGAGACAUUCUCAGCCCCAGAAGCCCAAACUUGAAGAGACAAGGGGUCUCUUGUCUUUGAAGAGGAGGAAUAGUGGCAGGGAGGAGAGCCUGAUUAUUUGUAAUUGUUCUUUUACACAAAAUCUGGGCGUUUAUGUAUCCAGAUAUGCGGACUAUAGUUCUCUGUGUCAUUGGUAUACCUAAAUAUUUGUAGAUACAUAGUUUUGUCUCUUCCUUUGGAGGCACGAUUUUGAAUCCUCUCUGCUUUGUUACUUCGUGUUUUAAAGUUGGUCUUCAUGAACACAAGUAUUACCCUGAUAACAAAAAUUUAAAAUGCAAAACACUUUAAAUAAAGGAAAUGUAUUAAUUUUAAUGUC